AUGUUCGAGUAUGUAAAUGUUGUCAGCAAGAUGUUUGAUAGUGAGGCUGAAGGCUAUGAAUUCUACAAGAAAUAUGCUCUUGAAAAAUGUUUUAGUGUGAGGAAAAGCUACGUUGAGUGGGAUGGAUCCAACAAAUACAUAAUUUUAAGGAAAAUUGUGUGUAGUCGUCAAGGGUUUCGCGAAGAUAAGCACAUGAAAAGAAAGAUGGAAGAUAGAAAGAGAAGGCCACGAAGUUUAACUCGUGUUGGGUGUAAUGCUAAAUUGGUCAUUACGAGACAGGAGGAAACCGGUCGGUGGUUUGUUAAGGAUUUCAUCGAUGAGCACAGCCAUCCUCUAGCCCCACGGGAUCUUUCUUGUCUGCUGCAUUCGCACAGACGAAUUAGCGAUGAGCAAAAAGCGGACAUUGCGGACAUGAAAAAAUGCGGGAUCCGUAAAUACCGUAUUAUGAAUAUUUUGUGCUUUCAAUACGGUGGAUUUGAUAAGGUUGGAUGCAUAAAGAGGGACCUUUACAAUUUCUGCCAUGCUAAUAAGCAGGAGACAAUCAGUGCCGGUGAUGCUAAAACGGUGAUCAUGCACAUGAUGGCGAGGCGAGAGCGAGAUGUGUAUUUUUUCUUCAAGUACUUGGUAGACGAGCAUGGCCAUCUGAAGGGACUGUUCUGGGCUGAUAGUCAAUCGCGACUUGACUACGAGGCUUUCGGAGACGUCAUUGUUUUUGAUAGCACAUACAGAACCAACAAAUACAAUCUGCCAUUCGUGCCUUUUGUCGGGUUGAAUCACCACCGUAGCACUGUUAUAUUUGGCUGUGGUAUAAUUUCUCAUGAAACAAGCCAGGCAUACGAGUGGAUGUUGCGGACCUUUUCUGAUUGCAUGGCACAGAAGCAUCCGAUAUCUGUGAUCACAGAUGGGGACCUUACAAUGCAGAGACCAAUAAGGGUGGUCUGGCCAGACUCAAACCAUAGACUAUGUAUAUGGCACAUUUAG
rnacentral:rRNA from 1 species